GGCGUGCGUGCGGGGCGGGGCCUCGGGGCAGAGACAACAGCCUGAGGUAAACAGCGACCGGGUAGAGUUGGAGGGCUGCGUCACUGGCUGAUGACCGGAUUGCAGCCGCGGUGCGGAAUGGGGCCAGGAUCGAGGAUUUGGGACCAGCUGACGCACAGACGCUGGUUGCAACCGUCGACACCGCCUUUCUAAGAGGCGGGGUUGGCCCUCCCAUUCUGUGGGUGGGGAGACUGAGGCACGGGAAUUGAGCGAAAGAGGUACAGGUGCGUGAGUGCCCCCGGGCUUCGGUGGACGCCACACUCUUUGUGUUUCGGGCGGAGAAACUGAGGCCUGAAAGGCGCCGGCCUUCCGGAGUGAUCUGUGUGUUGAGCUGACACGAGAACGUUCUGUGUGGGAAAACUCACUCUACACAGGAGGCGGCCGGGACCUGCCCGUAGGCCGCGUGUCCAGAGGAGGGCGCUGACCCCGGCUAGCCUGCCAUCUCUGUGGGGAGCCGCGAGCCCCGUAGUACCAGGAGACCCCAGGAACUUCCAGAGUAACAAGUUUGCCCUGCUUUGAACCCCAGGCCAGCCAGAAAACGCCAUUGUGCCCCAUCACCUGUCACAUAGCAGGCCCUGCCUUCGUUCUCAGGACCGCAGCCUCGCAACAGCCGUCCCAGCGCCGGCCCUUCUCCACUGUGAAGCUUCACUGGCUUCACUGCUGCCCUUAGAGUCUCAGCCAAACCGACCUCUCGCCAGCAAGCUCCGAGAGAAAGUCACUGUGCGGUGGCCGUGCAGACUUUGCUUAUUUCCACGUAGAGAAGGAUGACGCGAUCCUCGUUCUUCCAUUUGUUCAUCAAUUCCCAUUCUCAUUCUCAUUCAUUCAAGUAUUUACUAAACACCAGGGCAACAGAGUUCUAGAUGGCCCCAGGUGUAUAAUACCCUACAACUCUCAGGUUCCAUAACUGGGAGGAUGCCUGAAGCCUGAAGCACAACCUUCAAACAGCCUCACUAUAAAUCUGCCUUUCUGCCCAGGCAAAGUUUAUAGCAGAAGAAGGUACGGAGGGCAGUCAACCUUCUCAGAGGCGCCCCAGUCAGAGUUGGAGAACCAAGAAGAAUGGAAAAAUGGGAAAGAAAACUUGAAGAUCUGUUCCAGUUGACUACCUGCAGUCUCAUCUUCCCUACUUUAAAAACAAAGAAACAAAAACCCUUUUUUUUUAAGUAGUGGUCAUCAAACUUUUUGAUACUAUAUCACUGGAAAGAAUUUUUAAAUUUUUCUGUUCCAUAUUUCAAGGAGAGAUCUAAAAUACAGUCAUGCGCUGCAUGACAUUUCAGCGACAGACUACAUAUAUAAUGGCGGGCCUAUAUGGCUGUACCACAUGACCUAGGCGUGUAGAUGGCAUGUGGAAAAGCUGAGAAGUUGGAUAUUUAGAAGAGCAAGCCUGAAGCCAAGAAGGCUGAUGCCUGCAGCAACAUUAAAAAGGGUGACCCUUUCCCCAGGCUAAAAAAGCCCAAGAAGGGAAGUCGUUUUGCAGCUGAAAUCCAGUCCUAAUCUAAGGAACCAGCAGAUACUCUGCCAUAUGUUCCAGGAAGACCAUAUACAAAAGGAGAAACUUGGCCACUAAAUCCCAGAAUUGAAAAGAAAAAGGAGAAGAUUCUUGCCACUGACACAAAACCAGUUGACAAGAAUGGUGGUUAAAUCUCACAAAAUGCCUAGGUAUUAUCCUACUGAAGAUGAGCCUUGAAAGCUGUUGAACCAUGGCAGAAAAAUUUUCAGUCAGCAUGUGAGAAAGCUGUGAGCCAGACUCACUCCUGGGACCAUUUUGAUCAUCCUCACUGGACACCACAGAGGCCAGAGAGUGGUUUACCUGAAGCAACUGAACAGUGGCUUUCUACUUGUGGCUGGACCUCUGGUCCUCAAUAGAAUUCCACUACAUACAACACAUCAGAAAUUUGUCAUCACCACUUUUACGAAAGUUGAUAGCAAAGUAAAAAUUCCAAAAUACCUCACUGAUGGUUACUUCAAGAAAAAGAAGUUGCAAAAGUUCAGACACCAGGAAGGUGAAAUCUUCAACACUGAGAAGGAAAAAUACAAGAUUACAGAGUAGUGCAUGGUUGAUCAGAAGCUGUGAACUUGCAGAUUUUGCCGAAAAUCAAAGCUGUUCCUCAGCUCCAGGGCUACCUAUGACCCAUGUUUGCGCUUACAAAUGGAGUUUAUCCUCACCAAUUACUGCUCUAAAUUUCUUACAAAGAACAUAAUUAAAUAACUGACAAUAUAAAAAAAAACUUUUUGAAAGGCUUAUUAUUCUGAAAAGUAACAUUUCACAAUUCAGCAAAGUAACAAAUAUCUCAAAUCUUGGUAACUAAUUAUUAUGUAUAAGAUGAGAUACAGCGUCAUUCUAUUUAUA